AUGUGUAACUGUGUGUACGAAGAUGAAUAUGAGGAGGUGGUGCCUGCUGUCUAGGUAUUCACGUGCGUGUUGUCGUACAGCAGUCACCGUGCUCGGCUGACACUCCGGGUUAGCUGUGGGUGUCGAAAGGCUGUUGUUAUAGGAAGGGAGAAUAAGAGUAACACCUAGGUAUGAGGUGCAGACGAAGUGCAAGACACAAGUACUUCAAAGAGAGAACGGGGUAGCCGAGUAUAAGGUGCAGACGAAGUGCAAGACACAAGUACUUUAGUUAUUAGGAGAGGAUAAUGAAGUACGAGGUGCAGACGAAGUGCAAGACACAAGUACUUCAGAGAGAGAACGGGGUAGCCGAGUAUAAGGUGCAGACGAAGUGCAAGACACAAAUACUAGGCGUACCAGGUGAGGAAAGAUAACAGAGUACGAGGUGCAGACGAAGUGCAAGACACAAGUACUCUGAAAUGUCGAGGAAAAGAGUAUAUAGGUUAGAAAAGGAAUAAACAAAGACUUUACUUUAAACAGUAAGCCGGACAGCGACAACCGAGUACUGAGACUGAUGAAUGACACAAGGCACUGGAGUCGACUGACCACGAUGGUCAGGUCUAUUGGGUUUUUAUAAUAAUUACACCUAUUGCCGAUUUGGCAAUAAAUAUUAUUUGUUAAUUCACCAGUCUCAGGCAGCGGAUGUGCUGUCUGUAUUUUAUUAAAAUAAUUCUCACGAUUAUGAAAACGUGACACC